UACGUAGGGCGCAAGCGUUAUCCGGAAUUAUUGGGCGUAAAGAGCUCGUAGGCGGUUUGUCGCGUCUGCCGUGAAAGUCCGGGGCUCAACUCCGGAUCUGCGGUGGGUACGGGCAGACUAGAGUGCAGUAGGGGAGACUGGAAUUCCUGGUGUAGCGGUGAAAUGCGCAGAUAUCAGGAGGAACACCGAUGGCGAAGGCAGGUCUCUGGGCUGUAACUGACGCUGAGAGCGAAGACAUGGGGAGCGAACAGG
rnacentral:rRNA from 1 species